CGCCCGAUGACUGAAAUAAUAAGUGUAGGUCUUUUAAACCUAAAAUAGUAGAAAUACUUCAGGUGA
rnacentral:tRNA from 1 species